AGAGUUUUGCCAACAAAUAUCUUUAUUGAUAACUGAGAGAAACUAUACAAAGGGUUUUUAGGUAGAGCAUAUAAUACCUCUAACCUAAAGGCAUAGGCUUCCUUUAAUUGCUUAAGGAAGCUUACUAAAUAAGCCAAGCUAUGGACAAACAUCAAAUAAAAUAUUAAAAUCCUAUCCUAUAAGCUAAGGGAUAGGCAAUAUCCGUUAGUUAGGAUAAGUUUUAUCCUUUUGGAAGGUAUAAGAAUUAUCUGUUGUGACUGGAUAAGACUUAUAUUUAUUCACACCAGGAACUACUAAUACGUGGGGGGCAAAUAAAAACAAAACAAACUAUUUUGCUGGCAUGUGACAGCAUAUGCAAGUAGGUGAGUCUGUAGCUUGCAAGCAGAUGCAUUCAGUAGCUUCACAGGCAUCUUGCAAGCAGGUGGAUAAGCUCCUUGUCUUCGAAGUAGCUGAGCCAAUAGCUUCAAAAACUCAUCUAAAAGGGUAACCAACUGAAGAGGGUUUCCUUAGAGAGAAGGGUAACCAAAUAGGAAGGGUAACCCACUGGAGAGGAUAACCCACUGGAAAGGGUAUCCCGCUAGAGAGGGUUGUUACAUAAAGCCAUUGAGGAACUUUAGGAUAGUCCUCAGGUCUUUCACAUCCGGAAGAUCAUCACUUGGUUUGCACAUAGGGAUGUAGAAGGUGAUUUUAGGUGGCUUUUAUAUAUAAUGGUGGUCGAAAUGAUCAGUGGGAUUGAGAUAUUGAGUAGAGGCUCUCAACUUCUCAUACUUUGUGACCCAUGAAGCUGGUAUGAUGCUGACCAGUUCAUCUAUUGAUAUAUUUCUGGGGAUUUUAGUGCACUCUGGGGUUUUAUCAGUUGUAUCAAUGGUCAAGAAGAUAGAUUUGUUGGUUCUUGGAGAAAAUAGGUUCAUAUUAUAGUUUCUAACCCGCCAGGCUAUCUGAUAGUGGAGAUUUACCUGCCUAGUACCUCUAUCAUAUAGAGCAUCGAGAGUCUGGACCAGGAUCUUCAAUGCCUUCAUCAGAUCUGGAUCAGCUAAUGGUAUGUUAAAAUCAGGAAAUAUGGUGACAAGGACUAUAACAUCAUCAUCCUGAAUUAUCUUUGAUGUACCCAAAUUUGCAUGUUGUUAGUCAUUGAAUCUAGUAUCGAGAAGAGAAAGAUACGCCACAACUAGCCGGCCUUAUCUCCCUUGAUAUGUCAAUGCAAUACGUAAAUCACUAAUAUGGAGAUGGGUAAAUCCAAGACUAUUCUAUUGCUGUGGAAAGUCCUCGGGCAUCCAUAGUGAUAUGCAUGUACCUUUGGAGUCUCCAGAAUAGGGUGCUGAACAAGUGGUGUAGCAGCAACACAUUUCUUAACUCCUUUUGCCUUUUCUUGAACCAUAGAGUGGAUCUUCAUCCAGGGAUUGCAUACCUUUUUAGCAAUAGCUAAAUAGAGGUUUUGUAAAGGUUUGGUACACAUCCGUUGUAGUGAUGGUAACACCUUUAAUUCGUAUGUAUAGUCAAGUUUGCAUGACAACGUAUCACUAGGAACAGUUGUCAUGUUUCUCUUGAAAAAAGGAUUGUUUGGACUGGAUGUGGACUUUUUAGUAGACAUAUUUUUGGUUUUUUUGGA